rnacentral:rRNA from 1 species
GGAUCAGUAGGUUGGUCGUGCCACCGGUACGUACUGGUCUCACUGAUUCCUCCUUCCUGAGGAACCGUAAUGCCAUUAAUUUGGUGUUGCGGGGAAACAGGACUGUUACUUUGAAAAAAUUAGAGUGUUUAAAGCAAGCUAACGCUUGAAUACAUUAGCAUGGAAUAAUGAAAUAGGACGAUCGAUCCUAUUUUGUUGGUUUCUAGGAUUGACGUA